UUUCAACGAAACAAACAAAAAACAACUAAAUAUCAUUUACAGUGUCUUUUAUAAAUUUAUACAAGUAAACAUAAGUUGAGGCAUUCUUAAGCAACUCUUUUAAACAUUGCGGGACCCGGUUAGGCUUCUUAUAGAUUUUUAAAAGCUCAUCCGCCAACACAAGGCGCUGAAUGUUGAAAGAUGAACAUUCGAAGAAAAUGUGAUGUAGUGAUUGAAUUUUUUGUGAUUGACAAUAUUCGCAAUAGGGAGAAUUAGCCAUUUUAAUACGAUGAAGAUGACAAUUUAAUCUAUAAUGACCAAAACGCAUACGACAAAUAAUUGAAUAAAAUUUUCUAUUGAUAAAAUUAUUUUUCUUGCAAAACCAAGGAGUGGAGUUUAUUUGGACAUCCAUACUAGCAAACCAGUUUCCUUUAUUUUCAUGGAUAAAUUAUAUGAAAUAUGGACACCCAAAAAUUUCACUUCAGAUGUAGUGGGUAACAAACAAUUAUUAUAUUGCACAGCAGGUGUACUGUGACAAUGUUUACCAAAUACAAUAACUUUAGACUUGGAUGGAUUCACACUGAGAUCAAGGAAUCCCUAUUUGUAAUAACUCAAGGCAUAGAAUAUCUAUGUUUACACUAUUAAAAGCACCUGCGAUGUCAAAGAAUACACCGACCAAGUUUUCAUUUGCGGAUAUAGAGUUUUGUAUAUCCAGCUGUAACUGGCAAACGCUUUCUCUAGCAGAACGAUUUCUACGAAAACCAAAUUGAUUGGAAGGAAUAUGAUAACUAGUACCAAGAGGACAAUCAUGUACAGACCAGUCACAGUUGAGAGCCAGUGAUGAAGAUACCAAUGAUAAAUCCAAAGCAUUGGGUCGCCAUGUUGGAGAACCGAUAGUCGUUGCUUGCCCAUCAUUAAGGAGAACCAAAUUAUUAUCCUCAAUAACCUCUAGAAUAUUUUCGACCACGCGGGCUGUCGGAACCACAGCCCCAACAAGUGUGAUGAGCGUUAAAAUCGCCCGCAAAUAUGAAAGGACUAGGAAUAGACUUAACCAAUGUAUCAAAAUUGUUUUUGCUGAAGACUGGGUUAGAGUUUAAAGGACUAUAGAAACUAACUAUACAUAUAUCUUUAUUAUUAACUGUUAUUUUCACACAUACAUUUUGUAAGGAAUUAUCGAAAUAGGUGUUAAUUCUAGAAUAAAUAAUGCUUUUAUGUAUUAUAAUUGCAACACCAUUGUGUUUGUUACCACAAUCAUUCCUUUCAACAUUGUAAUUUUUAAUUUUUAAAAUUUUGUUCAGGUUUUAACCAAGUUUCACUGAUUAUAGCAAUAUGAAUAUUGUGUGUAUAAAGAAAAUUAAUAAAUAUAUGUUUGUUACUAUUCAGACUUUGGGCAUUCCAUUGUAUUAUAUUUAAAGUUGAUAAAUCCAUUAUGAAGAUGAAGGGAAUUUAUUACUUAGCGUUGCUUUUAAAACUUCUUUAAUGGAAGUAGAAUUAAUAGGGGCAUCUUUAUUACUUAUUAUUUUAAUAAUUGUUUCAACUAAUGUGCUUAUAAAUGUAUCCGAUUUCAUUAAAUUAUUAAUUUGCGUAUCUAAAGUACGAGCAGAAAGAGCUGGAAAUGCAUUGGAGUCAAAAAGUUCUGAAUAUGUGGCAUUUCUAGAUUUUAUUUUAUUUUCUUCAA